UAACUGGAGAGUUUGAUUCUGGCUCAGAACGAACGCUGGCGGCGUGCUUAACACAUGCAAGUCGAACGGGAAAAUCCCCGCAAGGGGAUGAGUACAGUGGCGCACGGGUGCGUAACACGUAGGUAACCUACCUGUUGUUGGGGAACAACCUGUCGAAAGACGGGCUAAUUCCGCGUAAGUUGGCAUCAUGAAAAUGAUGUCAAGAAAGAUGGCCUCUGCUUGCAAGCUAUCGACGACAGAUGGGCCUGCGCCCGAUUAGCUAGUUGGUAGGGUAACGGCCUACCAAGGCUUCGAUCGGUAGUUGGUCUGAGAGGACGACCAGCCACACUGGCACUGAAAUACGGGCCAGACUCCUACGGGAGGCAGCAGUGGGGAAUAUUGGACAAUGGGCGAAAGCCUGAUCCAGCAACGCCGCGUGAGCGAUGAAGGCCUUCGGGUCGUAAAGCUCUGUCAGAGGGGACGAAAACUCAGUGGAAAUAAUACUCCAUUGAAUUGACGGUACCCUCAGAGGAAGCACCGGCUAACUCUGUGCCAGCAGCCGCGGUAAUACAGAGGGUGCGAGCGUUGUUCGGAGUUACUGGGCGUAAAGCGCAUGUAGGCGGAUAGAGAAGUCGGGUGUGAAAUCCCUGGGCUUAACCCAGGAACUGCGCCCGAAACCAUCUAUCUAGAGUUCAGUAGGGGAGCGGGGAAUUCCCGGUGUAGAGGUGAAAUUCGUAGAUAUCGGGAGGAACACCAGUGGCGAAGGCGCCGCUCUGGGCUGUAACUGACGCUGAGGUGCGAAAGCUUGGGGAGCAAACAGGAUUAGAUACCCUGGUAGUCCAAGCUGUAAACGAUGGGUACUAGGUGUCGGAGGAAUUGACCCCUUCGGUGCCGUAAGCUAACGCAUUAAGUACCCCGCCUGGGAAGUACGGCCGCAAGGUUGAAACUCAAAGGAAUUGACGGGGGCCCGCACAAGCGGUGGAGCAU
rnacentral:rRNA from 1 species